rnacentral:rRNA from 1 species
AUGCAGUGUCAUUGGGCUGACAAGUGGAUACAAUUUCAGUAUCAGGGCAAAGAGAUCAAACUUCAAGGAGUUCUGCAUGUUCAACAAGAGAGUAUAGAGGAGAUAUUUGCUGAACAGUUCCUUAAGUGGGAAAAAGGAAACGAUGUGUGGGCUACUGCACUGCUAAAUCGCAUAGUAAUGGCACCUGUUACAGAAGUUCCUCUAGAGGUGCAACAAGUGUUGGACAGGAACAAACAGGUGUUCCAAGAGCCACACACUUUACCUCCACACAGAGCUUUUGAUCACAAAAUAAAUCUAGUACCAAAUGCUGCUCCUGUUAAUUGUAGACCAUACAGAUACUCUCCCUUACAAAAGGAUGAAAUUGAGAAACAAGUAAAGGAAAUGUUGGAUGCAGGUCUCAUUAUACCCAGUAUAAGCCCUUUUGCUGCACCAGUUUUAUUAGUCAAAAAGAAGGAUGGGACUUGGAGGUUUUGUGUGGAUUACAGAAAACUUAAUGCCAUUACUAUGAAGAACAAGUUUCCUAUGCCAGUGAUAGAUGAGAUUUUGGAUGAAUUAGGAGGAGCAAAAUGGUUCUCCAAGUUGGAUCUCAGAUCUGGGUACCAUCAGAUAAGAAUGCAAGAGGAGGAUGAGUUUAAAACAGCAUUCAAAACCCAUCAUGGGCAGUUCCAAUUUAGGGUAAUGCCUUUUGGAUUAGCUACUGCUCCAGGCACCUUUCAGUGUGUCAUGAAUUUUGCUUUUGCUGGAGCUAAUAGGAAAUAUGUCCUAGUCUUCAUGGAUGAUAUACUGGUGUUCAGUGGACCACUGGAGGAACAUAUAGAGCAUCUUUAG